GCCACAACCAAAACAAAAGACAACGAUGAAGGUGACGAGAAAGACACUUUCUGGGGCGAGGUGUGUCAGGAGCUUGGAAUAUCCGAUUCCAAGACCAAUAGGACACGGCUUCAUCAUGCCUAUAAUCAUCAUAAAAAGAUGAGACACAAGACACAGAUGGUGACCGCAGCACCUGCCAGCCCAUCGACAGACAGUGACCACACGGCCUGCCCCAUCGACAGUGACCACAGUUCCACUGACAUUGACCGCACAGUGCCUGCUACCCCAUCGUCGGUUAGACAGGCAUUCACAGAGACGAGUGAACCAGAAGACGUUUCAGAGUGUAAUUCAUCAGGGACAUAUGACUCCUCAUCACACUCAAAAGAUGGGCAACUCUUACACUCAUUUAAAUUGCCUUCAAAUCCUUCAUUUUUUUUUGUCACUAAAAGUGACUGGAAGAAACUGAGGAUGAGACAACAUAAGCGUCGAUUCAAAUCUUUAAACUGGAC